rnacentral:rRNA from 1 species
CUUCGGGUCGUAAAACUCUGUCCUCAAGGAAGAUAAUGACGGUACUUGAGGAGGAAGCCCCGGCUAACUACGUGCCAGCAGCCGCGGUAAUACGUAGGGGGCUAGCGUUAUCCGGAUUUACUGGGCGUAAAGGGUGCGUAGGCGGUCUUUCAAGUCAGGAGUGAAAGGCUACGGCUCAACCGUAGUAAGCUCUUGAAACUGGGAGACUUGAGUGCAGGAGAGGAGAGUGGAAUUCCUAGUGUAGCGGUGAAAUGCGUAGAUAUUAGGAGGAACACCAGUUGCGAAGGCGGCUCUCUGGACUGUAACUGACGCUGAGGCACGAAAGCGUGGGGAGCAAACAGGAUUAGAUACCCUGGUAGUCCACGCUGUAAACGAUGAGUACUAGGUGUCGGGGGUUACCCCC